rfam:Paracoccus solventivorans strain DSM 6637 genome assembly, contig: Ga0131120_112
GGUUCGGGAGCUGUGCGGUGGGACGCGCGGCACGAAUGGAGCUGCACCCCUGAUGUUCGUAUGCGUGCCGCAGGUCGGGCCCCGACGAUCCGCCGC